GCCCGCCUAGCUCAAUCGGAUAGAGCGUCAGACUCUUACCCAAGCUAUUAGGCGAUCUGAAGGCUGCGAGUUCGACCCUCGCGGUGGGCU
rnacentral:tRNA from 1 species